rnacentral:lncRNA from 1 species
UAUACUUUUCUCUUGCCUUCACUAGAAAUGAAGCUUUCAGGUUGGGAAACAUAUACUUCUUCUUGUAAUUCGCCAUUUAGGAAAGCAGACUUAACAUCAAAUUGGUACACAGGCCAACCAACUUGAGCAGCCAAUGCUAGAAUAGUUCUAACCGUUUCUACUGGUGAGAAUGUAUCUUCAAAGUCGAUGCUUGGUUUUUGGGAGUAUCCUUUUGCAACAAGUCGAGCUUUGUGACUUUUGACGCUUCCAUCAGCAUUGUAUUUUGUUUCAAAAAUCCAUUUUAGCCCGAUAACGUUCUUCCCUUCUGGCAAAUCAACUAGUUCCCAGGUCUGAUUUUUCUCAAUGUACUGAAUCUUUUCAAUCAUUGCAUUCUUCCACUCUGGUUGCUCUACAGCUUCUUCAUAACACAGUGGAUCAAAAUCUAACAAGGCAAAACUACAAGCUGAAUAAACAUCUUUCAGUGAUGUGAACUUUGUUGGUGGAGUUUUGCCGCAUGAUGUCAAAGUUGGAGAAUGAGAGCUUGCUGGAGUAGAAUUUUUGGUACUUCCGUGAGAAGAGAAAUCAGUAUUAUCGCUACCAGGAAAGGAACGAUCCAAAUUUCCUAAUUCAAGUAUAUCCAUAUGCUCCUCUUCUGUGUUAAAUGGAAUAUGGACUGAUGAAUCUUCCUUCUUUUCAUUCCACUCCCAAGCUGCUUCUUCAUUAAACACCACAUUCUUGUUGAUAAUCAUUUUGCCACUACUAGGAUUAUAUAGUCUAUAUGCUUUGGAUUGAGGACUAUAACCAAUGAAAAUGCAUUUUUCUGAUUUUUCAUCAAGUUUAGAGCGUAAAUUAACCAAAGCAUAAGCUAUACAACCAAAGAAUUUCAAGUGGCUUACUCGUGGUUUUCGUCCCAUCCAUGCUUCAUAUGGAGUCUGAUUCAAAACUACUUUCGUUGGAGAGAUAUUUAAGAGGUACACAGCUGCUGCCACUGCCUCUCCCCAAAAAUGAACUGGAAGUCCUCUUGCAUUAAGUAAGCUUCUGGCCAUCUCAACCAGCGUACGAUUUUUUCGCUCGGCAACUCCAUUUUGUUGUGGUGUGUACGGUGCUGUAAGCUCCCUGAGAAUUCCAAAAUCAACUAGUUCCCAGGUCUGAUUUUGCUCAAUGGACUGAAUCUCUUCAAUCAUUGCAUUCUUCCACUCUGGUUGCUCUGCAACUUCUUCAUAACACAGUGGAUCAACAGCUAACAAGGCAAAACUACAAGCUGAAUAAACAUCUU